rnacentral:rRNA from 1 species
UACGAAGGGGGCUAGCGUUGCUCGGAAUCACUGGGCGUAAAGCGCACGUAGGCGGCUUUCUAAGUCAGGGGUGAAAUCCUGGAGCUCAACUCCAGAACUGCCUUUGAUACUGGAGAGCUUGAGUCCGGGAGAGGUGAGUGGAACUCCGAGUGUAGAGGUGAAAUUCGUAGAUAUUCGGAAGAACACCAUUGGCGAAGGCGGCUCACUGGCCCGGUACUGACGCUGAUGUGCGAAAGCGUGGGGAGCAAACAGG